rnacentral:rRNA from 1 species
AUUGAACGCUGGCGGAAUGCUUUACACAUGCAAGUCGAGCGGCAGCGCGGGGGCAACCCUGGCGGCGAGCGGCGAACGGGUGAGUAAUACAUCGGAACGUGUCCUUAAGUGGGGGAUAGCUCGGCGAAAGCCGGAUUAAUACCGCAUAAGCUCUGAGGAGGAAAGCGGGGGCUCCGUAAGGACCUCGCGCUGUUGGAGCGGCCGAUGUCGGAUUAGCUGGUUGGUGGGGUAAAGGCCCACCAAGGCGACGAUCCGUAGCUGGUCUGAGAGGAUGAUCAGCCACACUGGAACUGAGACACGGUCCAGACUCCUACGGGAGGCAGCAGUGGGGAAUUUUGGACAAUGGGGGCAACCCUGAUCCAGCCAUUCCGCGUGAGUGAAGAAGGCC